rnacentral:sRNA from 1 species
UGCGAUCCCUGCCCCGUUUCCUCCUCCCUCGGGGUUGGGUGACACCGGGCGAAGCACUCCUCCUCCCUUGCUUCGCCAAUGUUUGCGGCCCGUGGCUCCUCCCGCCACGGGCCGUUGUC